rnacentral:rRNA from 1 species
ACGCUCGACACUACGAGGCAGCAGUGGGGAAUAUUGCACAAUGGGGGAAACCCUGAUGCAGCGACGCCGCGUGGAGGAAGAAGGUCUUCGGAUUGUAAACUCCUGUUGUUGGGGAAAAAGAGGAUGGUACCCAACAAGGAAGUGACGGCUAACUACGUGCUAGCAGCCGCGGUAAUCUGAGCGGGCUGGCAAGGC